rnacentral:rRNA from 1 species
AACGAACGCUGGCGGCAUGCCUAACACAUGCAAGUCGAACGAGACCUUCGGGUCUAGUGGCGCACGGGUGCGUAACGCGUGGGAACCUGCCCUUAGGUUCGGAAUAACUCCCCGAAAGGGGUGCUAAUACCGGAUAAUGUCUUCGGACCAAAGAUUUAUCGCCUUUGGAUGGGCCCGCGUUGGAUUAGCUAGUUGGUAGGGUAAAAGCCUACCAAGGCGACGAUCCAUAGCUGGCCUGAGAGGAUGAUCAGCCACACUGGGACUGAGACACGGCCCAGACUCCUACGGGAGGCAGCAGUGGGGAAUAUUGGACAGUGGGCGAAAGCCUGAUCCAGCAAUGCCGCGUGAGUGAUGAAGGCCUUAGGGUUGUAAAGCUCUUUUACCCGGGAUGAUAAUGACAGUACCGGGAGAAUAAGCUCCGGCUAACUCCGUG